UGGGGUGACUGCGUACCUUUUGUAUAAUGGGUCAGCGACUUAUAUUCUGUAGCAAGGUUAACCGAAUAGGGGAGCCGAAGGGAAACCGAGUCUUAACUGGGCGUUAAGUUGCAGGGUAUAGACCCGAAACCCGGUGAUCUAGCCAUGGGCAGGUUGAAGGUUGGGUAACACUAACUGGAGGACCGAACCGACUAAUGUUGAAAAAUUAGCGGAUGACUUGUGGCUGGGGGUGAAAGGCCAAUCAAACCGGGAGAUAGCUGGUUCUCCCCGAAAGCUAUUUAGGUAGCGCCUCGUGAAUUCAUCUCCGGGGGUAGAGCACUGUUUCGGCAAGGGGGUCAUCCCGACUUACCAACCCGAUGCAAACUGCGAAUACCGGAGAAUGUUAUCACGGGAGACACACGGCGGGUGCUAACGUCCGUCGUGAAGAGGGAAACAACCCAGACCGCCAGCUAAGGUCCCAAAGUCAUGGUUAAGUGGGAAACGAUGUGGGAAGGCCCAGACAGCCAGGAUGUUGGCUUAGAAGCAGCCAUCAUUUAAAGAAAGCGUAAUAGCUCACUGGUCGAGUCGGCCUGCGCGGAAGAUGUAACGGGGCUAAACCAUGCACCGAAGCUGCGGCAGCGACGCUUAUGCGUUGUUGGGUAGGGGAGCGUUCUGUAAGCCUGUGAAGGUGUGCUGUGAGGCAUGCUGGAGGUAUCAGAAGUGCGAAUGCUGACAUAAGUAACGAUAAAGCGGGUGAAAAGCCCGCUCGCCGGAAGACCAAGGGUUCCUGUCCAACGUUAAUCGGGGCAGGGUGAGUCGACCCCUAAGGCGAGGCCGAAAGGCGUAGUCGAUGGGAAACAGGUUAAUAUUCCUGUACUUGGUGUUACUGCGAAGGG
rnacentral:rRNA from 1 species